CGGCAAGCAGGGAGCCGCCCUACCUGAGGGAGGGAGGGGGCGGCCAUGAGGGGGGAGCCUCACUGUACCCCCCGGGGUUUGGGGGGGGGUUUAUAGGGAGAGGUGCUCGGUGCGCUCCCAGACGUGUUUGCUUUGGCUCUAAGGGUGAAAGACAGGUGAGAAAUGCAGUUUGCUUGCUCUCUGACCUCGAUUACGUCCUGCUUCUGGCACACCAAGGUGGAGGCACCCCUCAGUGAGUGAAGGUAGAUGAUGUGGAGCUAGACCUGUGAACACCUUCCAGAUGUGGAGAUGACACGGAAUGACACGGAAUGGCUACACUGCCAUGCAGAAGGACCCCAGCAAGGUGGAGUAGGGCUGACAGAACCCUGAUGAAGCUGAGCAAAAAAACAUAAAGUCCUGCAACUGGGAGGGAACAAGCCCAGGCAGCAGUACAGGCUGGGGCUGAUCACCUGGAAGCACCUCAGCAGUGAAGGAUCAAGCUCACCAUGAGACAACAGAGCAUCAGGGGCUGGGUUAAGCAAGUUUACUGGAGCAGGGAGAGGUAAAAAUCCUCCUUACAUCCAGGUGUGGGCUCCCCUGUCUGAGAGGAAUGGACAGGAAAGAGUCCCUGCAAAGAUGAUGAAAGGAGUGGAGCUCAUGUGAUAAUAUAGGGACGGAGGACUGGAACUGCUGAGCCUGGAAAAGAAGGUUAUGGGGGAGAAUCUUAGUGUGUAUCUAUAGCAGAUUGAGGGAACAAAGAAGAAGGAGUCAAACUUCCCACUAGUGCUGAAAGACAGGACAAGCGGAACUCCUGAGAGCAAGGCUAGGUGAGGCAGAACCCUGCCUCUGAAAUCCCCAUUCCGUGUUUUGUCUCUCAUGGCCCCCUGCCCUAGGUUGUAUUGCACAAAGUUCAAGAAAAGUCACUUACUGGAAAAGGUGAAAUUGUGAAGACUACUUUCUUAUACAUCUUUAUGUAUUUAAACAUCUUAGAAAGAGGAGGGGAGAAAACAGAAGCUUUAGCCACACAUUGGUUCAGCUUUGUGUAAAUAUUUAAAAAAAAAUUCAAGAAUCUGCCCUUUUAUUGGAGUAGACCAUGAUCGUGAUAUAAUUGUACAGAGCACUUCGUGGAACAGACAUCCUCCUGUGGCAGGAACAGAGUUAAACAGAUACAACAUGUAUAACAUGAAUGCGUUAUGAAAUAACUGUUAAUACCCACACCCCUGUUCACUGUUACUAUAGCUCUUGAAUAAAUAACUCAAUAAAUUUAAACAAAUUUAUCAACGUAUAAGUUUAAUGAAAAAAUAAAAAUUCAAUUCCUGUUUUACACAUUAAAUACCGUAAGGAGACUUUAAAUUAGACUUGCACUGCAAAUAAAA